GAUUCGUUAGCUCAGUUGGUAGAGCGGGGAACUUUUAAUUCCACGGUCCUCGGUUCGAGUCCGAGACGAAUCAC
rnacentral:tRNA from 5 species